CCACACACUUUUCUUCACCCUCAGCCUCUCUUCUCUUCUCACGUUUCUCCACAUACUUUUCUUCUCCAUCUCUUUCUCUUAUCUUCUUACACAACUAUCAGGUACUCUUCUUCUUCAAUUUUUUCUCUCUCUUAUUUUUUAUUUCUUUUCAUUUUUAUUCCUUCCCACACUACUCUAUUUUCUGUUCUACUUUGUUGGUUCUUUUUUUUUUCCCUGAUCAUAGUGUUGUAUUUAUCUUUUUUUAAGUAUUCUGUUUUUAUUUUAUUUUCUAUUUUGUGUAAUUUUAGACAUUGUCUGAAAAUCAGGAAACUUUCCUAA